rnacentral:rRNA from 1 species
AUUGAACGCUGGCGGCAGGCUUAACACAUGCAAGUCGAACGGUAACAUAAAGAAGCUUGCUUCUUUGAUGACGAGUGGCGGACGGGUGAGUAAUGCUUGGGAAUCUAGCUUAUGGAGGGGGAUAACUACGGGAAACUGUAGCUAAUACCGCGUAAUGUCGAAAGAUUAAAGUGUGGGACCUUCGGGCCACAUGCCAUAGGAUGAGCCCAAGUGGGAUUAGGUAGUUGGUGAGGUAAAGGCUCACCAAGCCGACGAUCUCUAGCUGGUCUGAGAUGAUGACCCGCCACACAGGGACUGAGACACGGCCCAGACUCCUACGGGAGGCAGCAGUGGGGAAUAUUGCGCAAUGGGGGCAACCCUGACGCAGCCAUGCCGCGUGAAUGAAGAAGGCCUUCGGGUUGUAAAGUUCUUUCGGUAGCGAGGAAGGCAUUUAGUUUAAUAGACUAGGUGAUUGACGUUAACUACAGAAGAAGCACCGGCUAACUCCGUGCCAGCAGCCGCAGUAA